AUAUAAACUUUUUGUCUUUUCAGAUCAACUAUGUUAUUAAGAAACGGCCCUGACAUUCCCAUGGAUGAUAUUCCUCUGUCAAUCAGAACAAAUCUAGAAAAUGGCCGACUCUAAAUCAUGUAUACAGCAGCCAUCUUGAGGGAGACAGAUUGAAGACUAUGAAUGUCAGAAAACAUUUAAAAUGGCAUGAAAAAUGUAAAAAAAAAUACUGUGUUCUCAUUAGCUAAAAUAUUUUGCUUGUAAAACCUGGUUGUACUAUUUUUAAGAUGUGAUUUUUUUAUUUUUAUUUUUUUAUUUUUAGUCUAUAUAUAUAUUGUUGCUAUUUUUAGACAUUAUAUAUAUAUAUAAAAAAGUUUAUGCAAUAUAUGUAUAGUA
rnacentral:lncRNA from 1 species